AUACGUAGGGUGCAAGCGUUAAUCGGAAUUACUGGGCGUAAAGCGUGUGUAGGCGGUUCGGAAAGAAAGAUGUGAAAUCCCAGGGCUCAACCUUGGAACUGCAUUUUUAACUCCCGAACUAGAGUAUGUCAGAGGGGGGUAGAAUUCCACGUGUAGCAGUGAAAUGCGUAGAGAUGUGGAGGAAUACCGAUGGCGAAGGCAGCCCCCUGGGAUAAUACUGACGCUCAGACACGAAAGCGUGGGGAGC
rnacentral:rRNA from 1 species